AGUACUGCUCUGUUAGCAGCAGGAGCAAAUGAAAGAAUUCAGUGUCAGCAUUUUCUGUUUCUCAUCUGACAAACAAGGUCAGGUACUUCUUUGAACAACCCAGUUCCAAUAGCUGUGAAACAUAAAGAGACAAGCAGGGGAAGAUUUUCCAGAAAGGCUGGUGGCUAGGCACAAGCAAAUUACACCAUUAAUGUCAUCCUGGCGAAUGAAACAAGAGAAUAGUAUUUAUCAGAGAAAGUCUGGUGAGUUGAAGUCCAAGACCCCAGGAAAAAACUAACCCUGCUGGGCUGCCCCUCCUUCGGAGUGGGACUAUGAUCCUCAUCAGGCCAAUCCACGUCACAGAAUGGUCUAGGCAUUGGAUGAGUGCCUCAAUCUGAGCCAAUGAAGGUCAUUGCUGAGACAUUUUACUGGUUGCCAGGCUGCAGGCAUCCCAGGCUUCCUGCUGCCCUCAUGUCUACAACCUGUCGUCUGGAACAUUCCAGGAGCCACUUUUAUCACUUGCAGCAAUCUUCUUCAAAUACCACAGACUGGGCAAUUUAUAAAUGAUGGAAGUUUAUUUGGCUCAUGGUUCUGGAGACUGGGAAGUCCAAGAACAUGGCACUGUCAUCUGGUG
rnacentral:lncRNA from 1 species